CACACACACACACACACACACACUAGAGAGAGAGAUACAUGAUAGAUAGAUAGAUAGAUCCAUCCAUACAUACAUACAUAGAUGAUAGAUACAUACAUAUAGAUUUAUAGAUAGAUGAUACAUAGAUGAUAGAUAGAUAAUAUAUAGAAAGAUACAUAGAUGAUAGAUAGACAAUAGAUGGAUAGAAGAUAGAUGAUAGAUGAUAGAUAGAUAGAUAGAUAGAUAGAUAGAUAGAUAGAUAGAUAGAUAGACUAAAAUAUGGGAGGUGGUCUACUUAUUCCUCUUAAAGAAUCUCCUUCUUGUGUAUAGAAUUGUAAGGUGGCUUACAAGAUGCACUGUCCAGGGUUGUGAUGAUAGUGCAGUGCUGAUACAGUUAAGUACCAAGUUCACAUGCACUCUGGCCCUAAACAAGCAUGGCCCAUUUGUUGUUUUAAGUAAUUUAUUUCAGGUGUGUCUCUAAAAGUAGAAUAUUGUCUAUAGUCAACUUAUUUUUUUUUUGUUGUGGGGAGGUUUUUUACUCUCAAGCAAACAGAAACUUAGAUAACAUCCUAGGUAAUAUUCCAUUCUUACACACCCUUACUUUUUCAAGCCUUUCUAGUUGCCUUGGAUCCGAGUUCUUCAAACAAUUGCCCACGCUUUGAGAGCGCUACUCUGAUAUAGUUUUCUUUUGUGCUUUUAUUUUUUCUUAAAUCUAACAAGACAAUGAGCAUUUACUAAAUCAAAUAAAAUACUUAAGACAAUCAGAAGAGAAAAGAGAAUAGCUCUUCCUCAUCUGAAUUCUCUUCUCUGAAGUUGUCUAUACUGUUAAUGUUUGUUGUGCCUUUCUGUACUUAGAAGCACAUAACACAGAAGUAGGGUAGGGACAGUUUUUUAAAGUACAAAAUGUAUUACAUUUAUGAUUUUUGUAAUUUGCCCUUUCCAGUUCUUGAUAUUCAUAAGAUCUUUCUGAGUUAAUGCAUGAAGACAGUGACAUCCAUGUUGAUGCUUACAUGGGAUUCUACUGUACAGGCUUAGUGUAUUUAUGUAGAAUCCCAUGUAAGCGUCAACUCUCUAAGUUCCCUUGCAAACAAUGCUCCCAAAGGCUUCUUGGUGCCUGUAUCUCCAUAAUGUAUAUAUUUAGUUCUUUAAGACAAAUACCCAGCAGUAGUUAACCUCAUCUGCCACAUUCAAACAACUGGAGUCUUCUGUUUACUGCCACUGAGGUAAGAUGUUUCAAUUCUGAAACCCAGAGGGAGAGAGUGGGGAUAGCCUUCAAGGCUUCAGUCUCCAAAAGCUUAAAUCCUUAGAGGAAUGAAGAAAACUUCUGGUUAGAAGAAAUGUGUGGGAGACACAUCAUAAAAGACUGAAGAACUUCUGUUUCAGGUUAGGAAAAGUUUCUCUGGCAUGAUGGAGGAGGGGGGAAGCAGGAGGUAAGGGGAGGGGAGGACAGGACACUAGAGGUGUUUGUGAGUUCUCACUGCAGGCCAUGUGCUGUACUUCCCAGGUGACACUCUCAGAAGGCAGCCAGCCAAGGAGAAGAGCCUGGGCAGACAGCAGAACCCCAAGAAAGAAAUGCUGUGUGUUCUACAAGGACACAUCUGCCCAGAGACAGUCUGCCAGUAUUCUAAGGUCCCCACACAGCAGUGGUAUGGGAAUCUUUUCUCAGGCUCUUGAGCUCAGCAUGAUGGGAAAAAAGAAAGUUGGUGGACAUGGAGGAAGUGAGUUGCCUGGAGUCACAGUGGGCAAGGCAAAGCCUGUGUUGACUGGUGACUACUUAAGGACAAUGCUCUUUUCCUCAUUCCCCAACAUCUGGACAUGAUAGCAGCCUUAGAAAGAUCCUAUGGAAAACAGAACCUUGAUUGACUGAGAUGGACUUGCUACAAGUCAACAGCAUACCAGAGGUUGGGUACUGAGACUCCUUCCCUGCACAGCUAGAUUUGUGCAUUAAAAUGCAUGUUGUAAUGUUGUCUUCUUCCCAAGUUACACUCCUACCAGUAACAUAGGAAGUGCCUGGCCGACUAGAUGCUGUCAAUCUUCGGAAUACGCAUAUGUGAUGACAUAUACAUAUUGAUAUGUUAUGUUUAGGGAAAAAUGCUUCUCAUUGUUUAAGUCUGUGUUUUCCUGUCCACCAGUGAGCAUCUUCUCAUAUUCCUGUUGCCUGUUUGCAUUUCCUUUUCUGUAGAGCACUAAUGCCAGUCCUGCCAUUUGUCCACACUGUUUGGUGGCACCCCUUCUCUUCUAUGAAACAGCUGAUGAUAGUUCAUCCUCAGAUGCUCACUGCAAAGAAGGAUGCUAUGUCUUUGUCUCUGUUCCUCAAAGGUCUGGCCCUUCCAUGAGAAUGUGAGUGGCACAAAGACAAGGAAGAGCAACGGAAAGCAAAUCAGGACACCAUGCUUCAUUAUUCCAUGGGACCUCACACGCAGAGCUAAUGAAAAGGAUUGAUUUGACUGUUUCCUGCUCAGUCAUAUUAGAAUGCUCCUCUGGGCCAUUCUUCCCCAAGCCACAGGUUCCAGCCCAUCCAGGACACCUUCAGGAGACUGAGUACCAUACUGUGCAGCUACCUAGAAAGGGCGGGGAAGCUCCAGACCCCCUUUUGUUCUGUCCAGCCAGUUCCCCAAACAUUAGCCAGAAGACUGUCUAGGUAUAUGCAGUUAUCUUUCAUCUGAAAUUGUCUGUACAAUUUAAAAAGCACAGAUUCUUGAAGACUGACACUAAUAGAAAGUGGUCCUCUGGGCAAUGCUCUGCCACCCUCCAUCCUAGUCUCUUCUCCUUUGGUCACUGUAUCUCAUUGCUCUUUUGUGAAACAUCAACCCUUGGGCAGAAAGUCCUGAUGAUCCUUGGGGAAGAACUGGAAUAGCACCCUAGACUCCAGUAAUGAGGAUGGUGAAAUUUCUUGUGACCAGUUCAGUUGGAAGUUAUGGCAAAUGAAUGUCUUCCCCAUAGGUGAUGCUGACCAGGGCUGUCCCAUCUCUCUUUCUCUCUCUUUUUUUUUUAAUAGUUUGGCCAGGGUGAGUUUCAGGUCUACUGGUUAUUUUUCUAAGGGGUAUUUCCAUUGGCAAGAGUGGAAAUAAGACCCAGAGAUGUGUGUGUCCUAACUCAAGGAUGCAUGGCUAGUAAACAGCUGUGUUUUCCUGACUCAGGAGACAUGCCCCAGACCCUCUGUCUGGAGUCCUUCACCCUCACUGCUCUUGACUUUAUUCCAAUGACACAGAUUCAAGGAGAAUUACCGUGGGGGUGACCAAUCAGUGGAAUUCUCCUUCCUGUUUUGAUAAGGACAAAGAAGGCCUAUUUGGGAAGAGACCUGUUUUGUGCUAUGGCUCACACAAAACAUAAACAAGUACCAUGUUUUGUUAAAACAUGAGACUACAAUAAAGUACAUACUAGGAUUUUUAAAAUGCUGUGUAUCAGGCACAUGAAAAUGAAUGGUAUAUUUCCUGCAUUUAUUUCCUAAGUUUGUUUGGUCUUUGCUGUAUUUGGAUUCUUGUCACAAAAAGUAAAUUUGCUGUAUUAUCUUGGACGUAUCUACCAACCAAAGAUAAAUGUUUAUAGUAAACAAAUGUGGAAAUUCUUGAGAAUCCUUAGGUUAUUUAUGUUCAAAUUUCUAUGGCAAACAGUUUCAACACAUCCAGAAGAUAAUGUAUGGUAGAAAUCGCAUCUUUCCAAGGAAAAAAGACCCUUUCCCAAUAUUUAGGGUCACUUCUCUCAGUAGUCAGGAAUUUUUGUAUGGCUGUAUUAAUUUGUACUCACUAUUUUUAAGGGAGUUUUGUGGGUUAAAAUUUGUACAAUGCUUA